GGGGGGUUGCUAUGCUUGUUAUUGAUGUGGGAGUCAAAUUUCGCACAGUCAGUGUCAAGUGCGCCAACAUUAUUGACCAGGAUUGUCCGAAUAUAAAAAUGGAACUAAAAUUUAUGUACAUAUAUAAUUUUGACUCAGAAUAUACCAAAGCAUUAUUUACGUGUUUUCUACGUAUAUUGGGUGGCGUGUUCUAGAUGAUUUCGUUGGGAGUUAUUGAAAACCUAUCGUACGCGUCGUAAUGUUGAUA